UUGAGGAAAAUGAAUUCUCCAUAACAGAUUAAAAUGAUAACUUUUCUUCUUUUUUUUUUUUUGCUGCUUUUUCAUGAGCAGUCAUUAUGUGACUUCAAAUCUCUUUUUUGUUUGUUUAUAUUUUUUUAAGAAAAUUGAUUUACUCAUUAAAUUAACCUAUUUGCUUGCUGAAUCAUGAACUGGGAAAUCAGUUUAUUAAUCUGAUAUUUUUACGGCACAAUAGCAUAAUUAAAUGUUUAUUUGCAGCAGAUUUUGUUUAGAAUUUAUUAAGAAUAAUUAACCAGCCAGUAUUAACUAGGGAUGCAAAUCACAGAAAGAUCCGAACCAGAAUAAAUCGGGUCCCAGUCGGGUCAUGCUCUAAAUGGAUCCAUAUUGGCUGGCCUCUAUGCCCGGUAAGAAAUAGGAGACGAUAGCGCAACGAGAGCGGCUUAUCCACGAGGCCGCUCCACCGUGUCGGGAAGCUCACAUGGCUCUUCUCCUCCCUCCCCUCCUCUCCUCCGACGGUUUACCUUCCCGUUUCAGCUCGUCUCUAUGAGCUUUGAUUGCACUUCUUUCAGCCUUGAGGUUGCAAAGGAACCUCAUUCUUCAACCAAGAUCCUUCGAUGGACUGACUGUUUCCUUGCCUUGUGCAUUCGCGGAGAGGAGGUUGACGAUUGUUCAUGCAUCUUCGGAGACCGAUGGGAACGAGGGAAGUGAAGCCGAGGCUUCUCCACCAGAGGCCUCUGAAACGGCUAUGUCGGUGGAGAAUCUUCCUCUCGAGUCGAAGAUGAAGCUAAAACUUGAGCAGAAGCUGAGGAUGAAGCUUGCCAAGAAGAUUAGGCUUCGGAGGAAGAGGCUUUUGCGGAAGCGGAGGAUGAGGAAGAAGGUACGAUGGCCGCCUUCAAAGAUGAAGAAGCUUAAGAAUGUAUGAUCGACAAUACGACGGGGUGCAAGCAUUGACUUUGCAUUUCUUGUAUUGUGUACUGGUAAAAGACUUUUCUACAAAUGCAUUGACUUUUCUACAAAUGGAAUAGAUUCUUUGGCUCCGAGCAAAGUGAUGGAGAUAUAACCUUUACCCAGUGUUUGCUCGGCCAUCAUAUUGCAUAUA